rnacentral:tRNA from 1 species
GGUUAUGGCUCAGCGGUAGAGCGCUUGCCUAGCAUGUGCAAGACUCUGGGUUCAUUCCUCAGCACCA